rnacentral:rRNA from 1 species
UAAUACGUAGGAUGCAAGCGUUAUUCGGAUUUACUGGGCGUAAAGCGCACCGAGGUGGCUUCUUUAAGUUGGAUGUAAAAUCUCCCGGCUUAACUGGGAGGCGCCAUUCAAAACUGAGAGGCUUGAGGUCAGCAGGGGAAAGUGGAAUUCCCGGUGUAGUGGUGGAAUGCGUAGAGAUCGGGAGGAACACCAGUGGCGAAAGCGGCUUUCUGGGCUGCACCUGACACUCUAGUGCGAAAGCGUGGGGAGCAAACAGGAUUAGAUACCCUGGUAGUCCACGCCCUAAACGAUGGAUACUAGGUGUGGGAGGUAUUGACCCCUUCCGUGCCGAAGCCAACGCGUUAAGUAUCCCGCCUGGGGACUACGGCCGCAAGGUU